AUUACCACCAUUAAUGCAAAAAAUGAAAUAAAAUACCAAAGCAGAAAACAAGAGAUUCAAUAUUAGGCUCAGUAUGGGUGACGUCCCUCGUGUUCAUUUCAUCGUCUUAACUUAACAAGCAGGAAAAAA